rnacentral:lncRNA from 1 species
AUUUAACAGCUGCCAUUUACUGGGCUCUGGCUCUGGUAGGCUGCAGGCUGUGAUUUCAUGUGACUUCUUACUUGAUCCUCAUGACAACCCUCUGAGUAAGUACUGCUACCAUAAUCUCCACUUCACAGAAGAGGAAACUGCAGCUCAGCGAGGGUAUUUACUCAGGAGGCAUGGAAACUAUGUCCCUACCAAGAAUUGUACAUGAAUGUUCAUAGCAGCUUUAUUCCUAAUGGCCCCAAGCUGGCAACAACUCAAAUGUCAAUCAAUGGGUGAUUGAUUGAAUACUCAAACUGUAGUGUCUCCGUGGAAUGGAAGACUACUCCGCAAUGAAAAGCAAUGAUUGGCUGGGCGCGGUGGCUCAGGCCUGUAAUCCCAGCACUUUGGGAGGCUGAGGCAGGUGGAUCAUGAGGUCAAGAGAUCGAGACCAACCUGGCCAACAUGGUGAAACCCUGUCUCUACUAAAAAUACAAAAAUUAGCUGGGCAUGGUGGCGUGCACCUGUAGUCCCAGCUACUCAGGAAGCUGAGGCAGGAGAAUCACUUGAACCCAGGAGGCGAAGGUUAUGGUGAGCCGAGAUUGUGCCACUGCACUCCAUCCUGGGUGACAGAGUGAGACUCUAUCUCAAAAAAAAAAAAAAAAAAAAAAAAAAAGGUAAAGAAAAGAGAAACAAUGAUUUGUUGAUGCACACCACACCACGGAUGAAUUUCAAAGCACUUAUGCUCAGAGAAAGAAACCAGAUAAAAAAUUAGAGUACAUCCUUUGUGUUUCUAUUUGUGCCGAAUUCUGGAAAAUGCAAACCAAUCUAUCAUGAAAGAAAGCAGGCCCAUGGUUGCCUGGGGACAAGCCUGGAGAUGGGGGUGGACUACAGGGGCACAGGGAAAAGAAAUGUGUGACGGGGGAUCAGGGAUGGCCUCACAACCUUGACAGUGUCAAUGGCCCCAUGUGGUUUACAUACAUCAAACUCGUGAAAUUGCACACUUUAAGUAUGCACAGUUUAUUGUACUUUCAUCAUAUCUCAGAAAAAUUGAAUUAAAAAUUCAUGAAGCUGUACACUUAAAUUUCCUGUAGCUUAUACUUUAAUAAAAAAGUAAAUAAAAAUGUAAA